rnacentral:rRNA from 1 species
CCUACGGGAGGCAGCAGUAAGGAAUAUUGGUCAAUGGGCGCAAGCCUGAACCAGCCAUGCCGCGUGCAGGAAGACGGCCCUAUGGGUUGUAAACUGCUUUUGAACAAGAGAAAACCUCGGUACGUGUACCGAGCUGAUAGUAUUGUUAGAAUAAGCAUCGGCUAACUUCGUGCCAGCAGCCGCGGUAAGACGAAGGAUGCAAGCGUUAUCCGGAUUCAUUGGGUUUAAAGGGUGCGUAGGCGGACCGAUAAGUCAGUGGUGAAAUCUCUCAGCUUAACUGAGAAACUGCCAUUGAUACUGUCAGUCUAGAGUAUAGAUGAUGUGGGCGGAAUAUGACAUGUAGUGGUGAAAUACUUAGAUAUGUCAUAGAACACCGAUUGCGAAGGCAGCUCACAAAACUAUAACUGACGCUGAGGCACGAAAGUGCGGGGAUCAAACAGGAUUAGAUACCCUGGUAGUCCGCACCGUAAACGAUGAUUACUCGUUGUUGGCAAUAUGACCGUCAGCGACCAAGCGAAAGCGAUAAGUAAUCCACCUGGGGAGUACGCCGGCAACGGUGAAACUCAAAUGAAUUGACGGCGNGAGAGNGACGACGGACGACGACGAGGGAGGAGG